rnacentral:miRNA from 1 species
AAUGGCUGUCCGUAGUGUGGUC